GCCUGGAUGGCUCAGUGGGUUAAGCAUCUGACUUUGGCUCAGGUCAUGAACUCACGGUUUGUGAGUUCGAGCCCCACGUCGGGCU
rnacentral:tRNA from 1 species